ACCCUCUCAGGAACGUUCCUGGAGAGUUUCCAGUACUCUACCAAUCUCGGCUAUGAGAGGGAGAGUCAAGCAGAGGCGUAUCCUUUCCAUUCCUAGCUUGGGCAGUGGCUAGCGAGUGGAAGACAGUCUGUUACAAGU